rnacentral:rRNA from 1 species
AGGGUUUCGGCCUUAGUGGCGGACGGGUGAAGUAACGCGUAGGAAUCUAUCCAUGGGUGGGGGAUAACUCCGGGAAACUGGAGCUAAUACCGCAUGAUACCUGAGGGUCAAAGGCGCAAGUCGCCUGUGGAGGAGCCUGCGUUUGAUUAGCUUGUUGGUGGGGUAAUGGCCUACCAAGGCGAUGAUCAAUAGCUGGUCUGAGAGGAUGAUCAGCCACACUGGGACUGAGACACGGCCCAGACUCCUACGGGAGGCAGCAGUGGGGAAUAUUGGACAAUGGGGGCAACCCUGAUCCAGCAAUGCCGCGUGUGUGAAGAAGGUUUUCGGAUUGUAAAGCACUUUCGGCGGGGACGAUGAUGACGGUACCCGCAGAAGAAGCCCCGGCUAACUUCGUGCCAGCAGCCGCGGUAAUACGAAGGGGGCUAGCGUUGCUCGGAAUGACUGGGCGUAAAGGGCGUGUAGGCGGUUUGCACAGUUAGAUGUGAAAUCCCCGGGCUUAACCUGGGAGCUGCAUUUAAUACGUGCAGACUAGAGUGUGAGAGAGGGUUGUGGAAUUCCCAGUGUAGAGGUGAAAUUCGUAGAUAUUGGGAAGAACACCGGUGGCGAAGGCGGCAACCUGGCUCAUGACUGACGCUGAGGCGCGAAAGCGUGGGGAGCAAACAGGAUUAGAUACCCU